rnacentral:rRNA from 1 species
CAAAGAUUUAUCGCUCUGAGAUGGACUCGCGUCUGAUUAGCUAGUUGGCGGGGCAACGGCCCACCAAGGCGACGAUCAGUAGCCGGACUGAGAGGUUGGCCGGCCACAUUGGGACUGAGAUACGGCCCAGACUCCUACGGGAGGCAGCAGUGGGGAAUAUUGGGCAAUGGGCGCAAGCCUGACCCAGCAACGCCGCGUGAAGGAAGAAGGCUUUCGGGUUGUAAACUUCUUUUCUUAGGGACGAAGAGAGUGACGGUACCUAAGGAAUAAGCCACGGCUAACUACGUGCCAGCAGCCGCGGUAAUACGUAGGUGGCAAGCGUUAUCCGGAUUUACUGGGUGUAAAGGGCGUGUAGGCGGGACUGCAAGUCAGAUGUGAAAACCAUGGGCUCAACCUGUGGCCUGCAUUUGAAACUGUAGUUCUUGAGUACUGGAGAGGCAGACGGAAUUCCUAGUGUAGCGGUGAAAUGCGUAGAUAUUAGGAGGAACACCAGUGGCGAAGGCGGUCUGCUGGACAGCAACUGACGCUGAGGCGCGAAAGCGUGGGGAGCAAACAGGAUUAGAUACCCUGGUAGUCCACGCUGUAAACGAUGGAUACUAGGUGUGGGGGGACUGACCCCCUCC